GUCACGCUGUAAACGAUGUCGAUUUGGAGUUUGUUGCCUAGAGUGAUGGGCUCCGAAGCUAACGCGAUAAAUCGACCGCUGGGGAGUACGGCCGCAAGGUUAAAACUCAAAUGAAUUGACGGGGGCCCGCACAAGCGAUGGAGCAUGUGGUUUAAUUCGAUGCAACGCGAAGAACCUUACCUGGUCUUGACAUCCAUAGAAUUCUGCAGAGAUGUGGGAGUGCCUUCGGGAACUAUGAGACAGGUGCUGCAUGGCUGUCGUCAGCUCGUGUUGUGAAAUGUUGGGUUAAGUCCCGCAACGAGCGCAACCCUUAUUCUUUGUUGCCAGCGAUUUGGUCGGGAACUCAAAGGAGACUGCCGUUGAUAAAGCGGAGGAAGGUGGGGACGACGUCAAGUCAUCAUGGCCCUUACGACCAGGGCUACACACGUGCUACAAUGGCGUAUACAAAGGGAAGCGAAGGUGCGAGCUGGAGCGGAUCUCAUAAAGUACGUCUAAGUUCGGAUUGGAGUCUGCAACUCGACUCCAUGAAGUCGGAAUCGCUAGUAAUCGUAGAUCAGAAUGCUACGGUGAAUACGUUCCCGGGCCUUGUACACACCGCCCGUCACACCAUGGGAGUGGGUUGCACCAGAAGUAGAUAGCUUAACCGCGAGGGGGGCGUUUACCACGGUGUGAUUCAUGGCUGGGGUGAAGUCGUAACAAGGUAACCA
rnacentral:rRNA from 1 species